rnacentral:misc_RNA from 1 species
UGACGCAACGGACUCAUGACGUCACGGACCAGGUCAGCGAUCAUCCGGCGGCCCUCCAAUGCCCCAGUGGGGGUCGCCCCCUACCUGAGGGUCGGCCCUGAAGAGGGUCCUUCGACGGACUCACAACGUCAGCCUCAGGCCGGCCCGUGCGGCGCCAGUGAUGGCGGGGAGGCAGUACUGAAGAGUGGCAGCGGCAGCGGCGUCCCGGGCAGAGGUGAGCGUGAGGCGGCGCCCAACAAGGCGGAGAGCGUAGUACACCUGUCCGGCGGCACCACCACGGUGACUCUGGCACGUGGGGAAGCCUCUACCCCGCAGGGUCACUCCUCGCCCCCCGCCCUUGGCGUAAAGAAGCAGUUCACCAGGCCUGAGCGCCGCGCUGUCGGGGGCGGGGCGGCGGAGGGCGGGGCUGGCGGGGCAGGUGGCCGAGGAGACAGGGGGAUGGCGGAGCGUCGGGGCUACGCCAUCAGCGGCGCCAGUUACUCGCGCGCCGUGGCCAGUGAGGGCGAGGCAGCCGUCACCGUCACGGUUUCGGAUAGUAGUUCAGUGGACUCCCCGCUCCUUUCCCCUCGCCGGCCCCUUCUUCAUUCCGCCCACAGCAGCCCUGACGCUGGUCUCGUGCAGGUAGAGCUUGUGGAGGCGCAGGGCAUGGAUCUCGACUCAGGAGGACGCUUCGACCGCCGCGCCACCAUCAUCGACAGCGGGCAUGACUUCCGUCGGUUAGGUCGCGUGGGUGGGUCGCGCCUCCACCAGCCCAGAAUGAGCCUCCUAGGGAAGCCUAUCAACUAUAAAACUUCACGCCGGGACGUCCGCUACAGGAAAACACAAGCCAGAGUCUACAACUUCCUAGAGCGGCCGCGGGGAGUGAAGGCAGUCAUCUAUCAUAUGUCCGUGUUCUGCACCAUCUUCAUCUGCCUCACCCUGAGCGUUCUGUCCACGGUAAAGGACUACGAAGACCAAGCUACAGAAGUCCUCUUUUAUAUCGAGUCCUUUGUCGUUGUGUGGUUCACUAUUGAAUAUAUUUUGAGAUUAUGGUCGUCCGGGUGUCGUUCGAGAUACCAGGGGUUUUGGGGCAGGAUGAAGUACGCCAAGAGGCCUUUCUGUUGUAUAGACAUAGUAACCAUAGUGGCCUCGGUCGUGGUGCUGGCAAAUGGGUCCGGCGGGCAGGUGGUGUCUGCCGUGCGGGGCCUGCGUUUCUUCCAGAUUCUGCGCAUGGUGAGGAUGGACAGGCGGGGCGGGACCUGGAAGUUACUAGGCUCUGUCGUGUUUGCGCACAGACAGGAACUCAUCACGACGGUGUACAUAGGGUUCCUGGGGCUGAUCUUCUCCUCCUUCCUCGUCUACCUCGUCGAGAAAGACAACAACGACCACUUCAAAAACUUCCCCGACGCUCUGUGGUGGGGAGUGAUAACGUUGUGCACUGUGGGUUACGGUGACGCUGUGCCCAAGACGUGGGGCGGCAAGAUGAUCGCGUCGGGGUGUGCGCUCCUGGGCAUCUCCUUUUUCGCCCUGCCAGCGGGCAUCCUAGGCUCGGGAUUCGCCUUGAAGGUUCAGCAGCAGCAGCGUCAGAAGCACAUGAUUCGGAGAAGGCAACCGGCGGCCACUCUCAUCCAGUGUCUGUGGCGGUGUUACGCUGCUGAUGAGCACUCCAUGUCAGUGGCCACCUGGAAGAUACACCAGGUGCCUCUUCCUUCACCUCCCUCGAGACAAAUAAGCAUCAAGAUCGAGGAAAAGGAAAAGACCCCUUAUCCUACCUCUAUGAGACAACUGAGUUCGAUCAGGCUGUCUCCGGGCCGAAUCUUCAAGCAUAAUGCAUCCUUCGUGACCAGAUUACCCACAAUCCGCCGCCACAGAAACGCUCACUCGCCAUCCAUCAAAAACAGACACACUGAUUCCAAUCAUGCGUUAGACAACCUAGUCAAUUCUAAUAGAAUAAAUACAAGUCACAGUGAAGAUUCUGUUACGAAAGAGUCUUCUGAUGUGGUUCUAACAAAAAAGAACUCAGACGACGAGGACGAUGACCAACCUCGGGUGCUGCAGCUCACCAACCAACACAAGGCAGCCAUCAGAGCCAUCAGGAAGAUUAGGUACUUCCUUGCCAGGCGUAAGUUCAAAGAGGCCCUAAAACCCUAUGAUGUAAAAGACGUUAUAGAACAAUAUUCCUCGGGCCAUGCAGAUCUGCUAACAAGAGUAAAGUACCUGCACGGGAGGCUGGACCAGAUCCUUGGGAAGCAAGGAUCUAAGGCUAAGGAUGUGUACGAGUCCAAGAUUAGUCUUGCUUCUCGCAUCGUGAAGGUGGAAAGACAGGUUGAUGAUAUUGAGUCUAAAUUGGACCAACUAAUUGACCUGUACAUGGAAGAUCGCAAACGCCUUCUGGCUCUGCCUCCACCUGUGACGGGUCUCCUUCCCACCACACCUACCUCUUCUGCUCCCCUUCCUGGCUCCCCUGACAGCUGCAGCAGUGGCCCCACCACCUCCUUUACCCCAAUAACCAGCUCCUCCACUGUCAUACCCUCAUCUUCCCUGACUGUUCCUGGUGCUCCCCCACCCUACACAUCAGUUCUGAAGCCCAAGCCCAUCCUGGUUGACAAACAGGCAUCUGAACCCAACACACCAACUAACAAGUACUUUGAGAGGCCCAUGACCCGAGGCAACUCUGACGUCUCUCAGAGAAUGAAGAAACGAGUUACCCUAAGACUCCCUUGCAGCUCACUGCCGUCCCGUCAUUCCCUGGAGGCCAAGGAGCCAGACUUGCUGCAGGUGCCUCAGGUGGUGCAGAUUGAGCACGCUGGUGCACCUUACAUCGAGGAAGACUGUGAUCCCCGUAACCAAGACACACCCCAUCCUAUUCCAUAAAGACAGAACUAACCUUCUAAACCCUAAGUUGUUCCUCUUGGACUCACAACCUGAGUGGGGAGGUCAGGCAUGGUGGUAUGGCCCAAUCCCUGCAACACACAGACGACGACAGCAGUACAAUCAUGACUGAGUACGAGUCCCUAGAGCCAGCCACCAUCAUGGAAGAGAAUGAGUUCUCCUCCAUCACAAUCCCCACCAUCUCAGCCUCUGUUGCACAGGACACCACACUUCAAG